rnacentral:tRNA from 1 species
UCCCUGAUGGCUCAGCUGAUAAAGAAUCCACCUGCAAUGUGGGAGACCUGGGUUCGAUCCCUGGGUCAGAGAG